ensembl:lncRNA
GGACACCCUGCAUACAGUUCUGAAGGUCUUAAUGAAAAGUUUACCCUGCUGGUAGAUAUGAUGCAAUCACCAUGAAUAAAUCUAAGCACCACAGAAGAGUUGAGUUAAGAACUUUAUUAAGUCUUGUCAGCAUUUACAGGCAUAACUUCACAUGUCCAUGGCCUCCAGCACCUUAAAGAGAAAGGUGCAUUUUAUUAUUUAUUCUUCACUUGCAUGUAAAACAUUUGCUCAUACCAAAGCAUUAUAUCAGAGGGGUACCAUUCAGUCAGAUUAUAAUCAGACUGGGGCGGUAUCACUAUUCAUCAUUUAUUAUAAUGGCCUGCAAUAGGAGUAAGUAUACAACUCACCAAGUUGAUUCUACAACAGAACAGAUGACCUGCAAAAGCAGAAAGGUACAUUUUAGAAUAGUCAAACAAACAAUCUAAUUAAUAUCCAUUUUCUCUAGGAGAUCAGAGGGGUACCAGUCAGUCACUACACAUCAGACUGGGGCGGUAAUCUCAAGUCAUCAUUUCAACCUAGAGUUAUUCAAUAAAGGGACCAUACUAAACGCAAACCUCAUCCAGGGCAGCACCAGUAUCUUCAUGCACAGGCUUAUGGUCCUAGAGGAAAAGACAAGAGGUCCCUUUUAAACAAAGUACUAAUGGAGGGGUGUAAAUAAUUGUAUAAACUCCGUUACUCUAGAGACUCCAGCUCAGGUUUAUAAAGUGACACACUGACGAUCUGAGUGGUUUAGAUUGGAGCAGGUAGAUCAGAGGGGUACCAUUCAGUCAGAUCAUAAUCAGACUGGGGCGGUAUCACUUCAUCAUUUCUCAUUUCACUUCACCUGCACACCUACCUGAUCAGGGACACCUUUGUUCCAAAGAGCAUCCAGCUUGUCCAUUGUUUCAGCUGAAAUAAAAAUGUGCAUUGCAUGAGACAUGAAGUGAAACUCCAGGACAAGAAUAAGCCAAUAUCACAGCUGGGCCAUCAGACAGUUGGUAACCAACAAAUUAUCCCCUUGUUGCUCUGGCAACACCAGUGGGUUCACCUUUUCAGGUUCUGGUGUUGACAGUGCGUAAGACAUGUGCAAGUUUCAUCAUAAAGGACCAGCAACUACUCUAUUCAAAGUGAACUAACUAAAUUGUAUUUUAGUAUAAAAAUUUAGGGUCUCACCUGUUCAAGUCCUCAAACUGUCAGGCCCACCCUAAAUAAGUAGUUCACAAUUAGUUUCUGCAUUUUAAGUACAAGUCAACUAGCAACAGACCACAGCAUCAUCAGUAUUCAAAAUUUCUCAACAGGAGUUCAGACGAACGAGAUUCCAAAGUAAAUCAUCAUAAGAUGCAGAAUGUUUAAAACAGACAUGGAAGAGAAAAAAAAGGUAUCACUGAUGUACCUGAAACCCACAGUACACCAUUAAGUUCUUCUGUUCAUGAAAAUGCAAUCCUGUAAACAAGACAAAGAGGGAUUACAGACACAUCUGGCCAGGAAGGUAGAGUGGAAAGCAUACAGAUCUCUCAGGUGUUCGUGACUUUUCACAGUGGGUCAAAGUGAGCUAAGUAUCUUCAUCAUAGAGACCAGAGCCUUUUACAAAGCAAACAUAAAAAAUAUUUACCAUGACAACUGCAUUUAAGAGCACUUCUGAACCAAGACUUUCAUUUGGCACAAACAUCUUCGUUUCAGAGGAUGACCAGUCUGUAGAUGAAAGCAAAGACCUUUUUUAAAAUAAAGCUAGCUUCAAAGGCAUCUGCUAAUGAAAACAUGUAAAUCUGUAGCACAGUUCACAUUUGUUAGCUCUGCAAUCAAAAACUUCUCAUAUUAACCAACAAGGAUAUUUAAUCUUCAGAAAGGAAAGGCUAAGGUAAAAUGUUUGCUGUUUCAAACACAAAAUCAAAAGAUACAUGCAGUUUGAGUAACUGGCACAACCUCUAUAACUCACUUUGAUGCUACUUGAACGCAAACAUACAUCUGCUUACCCUGAUCUGAAGACACUCACAGCCUUCCAGGCAAACACCACCCAUCUAAAGAAGUCAAUAAAAGAAACUGUUGUACAUAAAUUCACACAAGACAAGUUAUAAAACUUGCAUCUCAAUCUCUCAGAUGUUUCAAUGUUUUCACAUGGGUUCAAACUGAGCUAAGAAUAAAUGCUACAUCACAGAGACAGCACCAUCCAAAUUAAAUGCAUGUUAACGUAGAAGACUCACCACAGUGGUCCAAGCAGUGGUCACCAACAGGCAUUCACUUAACAUCUGCAAGACAAAUCUUUCAAUGACAUUGAAACCAGGACCACUGUUGGGAGGAAGAAAAAAAAAUAACUCUAGUAGGAUGAAAGGCUGGUCAAGUGACUGAAUUAUGAUCUACACUAAUGUUUGUCUGAUCAGACUUUGGUGACUAGAAUGCCAUUUGACCGAGUGGCCGUCCAGAAACGAUGGGAUGAAACCCAUUCAAUCAUUUCAGACACUUCAUGUCAAAGCUUAAUACUGAAAACAUCAAAGUACAAAGACAUUACUUACAAAGAGUUACCCACUGCACACUGAUAUGUUGAGAAGUUAAUCUUGGGAUAAACAUCUGUUAAAGAAAAGAAAUGAUUUGUUAAAAAAUAUAUAUAAAUAAAAAAAAAUAACAGAAUAUUUCCUGUUACAUUAACAGGUAAAGGGUUCAGAUUUAAAAGUGAGCAUCACUGAAAUUCAGACAUAUGCUUGUCGAUAAACUCAUCAUUAAAAACCCCCAGACACAACAAAAUUAACAUAGAACAUAAUGAAACCCACCAUUUUAUCAGCAAACUGAAUCAGGAGAUCAGAGAAGCUGCAAAGAAUAUUUCACAAAUCACUCACAAUGCACAGGAGUAUAUGAAAAAUGUACAAGAUGAAGACUAACUACUCAGAAUUAAACACAGACUCCUCAACAGAAUUCGGUAAGAGAGAGUUCAAGACUCAUCACAGCAGUGUACCAGUCACUACAAUUUGUAUAUUAUAUUCAGAGCAAGCAACGUGCUCUGGCUUAACCUGAGAAUAAAAGGAAAGAAAUGCACACCUGUCCAGCUGCUGAAGAUCCAGUCUGGAAUAAGAAGAAAAGCAUGGUUACUCAGGGGCCUGAUGACCACGUGGAGGCCUGAGAGAAACUAUCACAAUAAUUACCAAAACACUGGAUUUGUAAGAGGGAAAAAAAAAAACCUCGAAAGAAAUAAAAAAAAUACAAUAAAAUAAAAUAAGUCUCUCUUCAGAUAAUAUAGUUGCAAUCACAGGAUUUCAGUACAGGUCUGUGAAAGUUAUCAUCACUGAGAGAUAUGAUUGGACUGCAGCGUGCAUGACCGCGCGCCAUAGCUUCAGCAGUCAUUCAUCCAAAAAAAAUAAAGAAAAUAAAGCCAAUAUCCGCUACUAAUAAUGCAUCAAUACGUUUUCAUUAGUGCUGCAGUCAAAAUUUAAGCGACCAAGCAGGACGAGUUAAAGGAUGGCCAUGGAUGACGAAUCUUUGCCAAAGCAGACCAAGGAUGACUUAGGAGGAGUUGGGCCUGCUCAAUCCAAAACUAUAUAUAACUACCAAAUACUCUAGAUUUACUGCGCUAUUAUCUUCACACGGUUCAACUAAACAUAUUUGGAAAGCUAGAACAAUAAUACAGCCUUUUUGAUAAACCUCCCAACAUAAACCGAGAAGAACGUACCUCACCUCAGUCCGUGCUGCA